rnacentral:rRNA from 1 species
UACACACCGCCCGUCACACCAUGGAAGUUGGCUGCACCAGAAGUAGGUAGUCUAACCGCGAAGGGGGACGCUUACCACGGUGUGGUCAAUGACUGGGGUG